rnacentral:tRNA from 1 species
GGUUUCGUGGUGUAGUGGUUAUCACGUCUGCUUUACACGCAGAAGGUCGCGAGUUCGAGCCUCGCCGAAACCU